ACUUAACCUGUGUCUAAAGCACUGCUGGCCGCCGAUUCUACGCCGCCCGGUCGCCAGGGAGAGUGAAUACAGCUAGGGACGUGAAAGAACGGGGAAGAUAACCGAAGGGUGGUUUGAGAAACCCACCAGGCCAACUGGGAAUUAGAAUUGAUUCAAAACUCCAUUGAUCGCCUGACCUCCAUAAGCUCCUACUCUGCUGCAGUUGAGUGCUGCCACUUAAAUCCUGCAGUCCCGAGAUCCGGUUAUAACCAAUGCAUUUAGAUUUUUCAUUUCGGUGGCAACAAUCUUCAUUGUAAGUUCUGUCCUACAGAGAAGUGUGGUGAUCAAGCUCUUUGGAGAUACUGGGACUCCUCUCACAAAUGUAUGUCUCACAGUUAUGAUGAAUGGUGUAUCUCCUGGAUCUUCCUCAGUUGAGUAUGUUUUAAAGGAAAAAUACACUUUAUCAUUCAAAUCUUUCAAA
rnacentral:lncRNA from 1 species